ensembl:lncRNA
GGGGGAACCGUUGUGCGUCAAGACAAUAAAAGCUGUGAUGCAGGUGAGUAAUUGCAGGAAGUCUGACAGACUCUGUCAUUAGAACACACACACACACAUACACAUACACACACACGCACGCACACACACACCUACACAGCUUGAACCACGUCUUUUUUCAUGCAUGAUCCACACAAACCCAUUUCACUAAUUAUAGAUAAUUGUUUCACUAAUUAUAAGGCUUUGUUCAAAUGGACAAACUCGUCCUCGUCUCUUUUCUCCAUUUUCAUGCUUCAUGUGAACUUCACGGGUGAAUAAUUAUGUGAGUCUCUUGGGAAAUUUACACAUGUGGCCUUAAGACAUGUUAUGUUUCUGUCAUUUUUCACAUGUAGUGCAUGAAGUUGAUUUGCUCACAUGAUUGUUUGUUUUCAGCAUAUGAUCACAUAUUGUUAAAUAGGUUUAGAUUUAAAUACACCCCAAGAGGUAUUUAAAUAUGCUCCAACAGGUAUUUAAAUACACCCCAACAGGUAUUUAAAUACAUCCCGACAGGUAUUUAAAUACGCCCCAACAG